UAGGGAAUCGUCGGCAAUGAGCGAAAGCUUGACCGCGCGACGCCGCGUGAAGGAAGAAGGCCUUCGGGUUGUAAACUUCUUUUAUAGGGGAUGAUUAUGACAGUACCCUAAGAAUAAGGGCCUGCUAACUACGUGCCAGCAGCAGCGGUAAUACGUAGGGCCCGAGCAUUAUCCGGAAUUAUUGGGCGUAAAGAGCGUGUAGGUGUUCCUACAAGUCGGUCGUUAAAUCUCAGAGCUCAACUCUGAGACCGCGAGCGAAACUGUAGGAAUUGAGGUUUGCAGGGGCUAGCAGAAUUCCAGGAGUAGGGGUGAAAUCCGUUGAUACCUGGAGGAAUACCAAUGGCGAAGGCAGCUAGCUGGGCAAUACCUGACACUGAGACGCGAAAGCGUGGGGAGCAAACGGG
rnacentral:rRNA from 1 species